GCAGGUUUAGCAAUCUGGUGAAUGCAGUGAACUCAUAAUUCACCUAAGGUGAGUUCGAUCCUCACAACCUGCA
rnacentral:tRNA from 1 species